CCCAAUGGAAGAGAGGAAAACUGAUCAACAAGGCAGAGAAAGCAUGUGAAAAUGCCCCCUUUUGGUAUGGUUAGGAAUUAUUAGAGUUUGCUUACCUUUGUUUUUUAUUCUCGAUCUCUCUGAACACUUGAUGCCUCUGUGCGUGCCUUUUUUUCAGAGGCCUGAGACUUAAAAUUCACACACAGCUGGCCUCUUUGCAGACAAUGACUCCAAAAUCUGUUUUUACUAUGAGACAGAACCAGUCUCCGGUCUUUCUCAUUCAGUGUUAAUUACAGUAGAACUUAGUGCUCAUAGAGCAUAUUUUAAGUAAUCAAGUAUUAAUGUUUUUACAGGAUUGCAGCCCUAUAAGGUACUAUUAUCCCUAUCCUGCAAACAUGCACGCAUGCAUGUGUGCGUGCAUGGGAUGGAAGUGGCACUAAGUCACUGUCCUGCAUCAAAGCAACUACUUUACUGGCUUUGCAUGCUCAGAAGACAUUCCUAUUGACACCAAGCAGCUGAAGAAGGUGAAGCAGCCUGUUUUGACACUGCGAUUGGAGGCCCGGAGGCUGAGCAUCUUGCUUUUCUGGGUGAUGAUGCCGCCUUGCUUCAGCUAUUAGAGUCAAGGUGGCUCCAGAAAUGGAAGUGACACAGCUUCACACAGCCAUAUUGCCCAAUAGCAAAUGCUGAAUUUCUGGUUGUAAAUCAAAUGUAUUUAAAAUAAAGAUAAAUGUGAAGUC